rnacentral:tRNA from 1 species
CGGGAUGUGGCGCAGUUGGUAGCGCGCGUGCUUUGGGAGCAUGAAGCCGCAGGUUCGAGUCCUGUCAUCCCGACCA